rnacentral:rRNA from 1 species
AACGAACGCUGGCGGCAGGCUUAACACAUGCAAGCCGAGCGCCCCGCAAGGGGAGCGGCAGACGGGUGAGUAACGCGUGGGAAUCUACCCAUCUCUACGGAAUAACGCAUGGAAACGUGUGCUAAUACCGUAUACGUCCUUCGGGAGAAAGAUUUAUCGGAGAUGGAUGAGCCCGCGUUGGAUUAGCUAGUUGGUGGGGUAAAGGCCUACCAAGGCGACGAUCCAUAGCUGGUCUGAGAGGAUGAUCAGCCACACUGGGACUGAGACACGGCCCAGACUCCUACGGGAGGCAGCAGUGGGGAAUAUUGGACAAUGGGCGCAAGCCUGAUCCAGCCAUGCCGCGUGAGUGAUGAAGGCCCUAGGGUUGUAAAGCUCUUUCACCGGUGAAGAUAAUGACGGUAACCGGAGAAGAAGCCCCGGCUAACUCCGUGCCAGCCGCCGCAGUAACAC